rnacentral:rRNA from 1 species
UACGUAGGGUGCAAGCGUUAUCCGGAUUUACUGGGUUUAAAGGGUGCGUAGGCGGGCCUUUAAGUCAGUGGUGAAAGCUCCGAGCUUAACUCGGAAACUGCCAUUGAUACUAUUGGUCUUGAAUUCGGUCGAGGUUGGCGGAAUGUGUCGUGUAGCGGUGAAAUGCUUAGAUAUGACACAGAACACCGAUUGCGAAGGCAGCUAGCUAGACCGACAUUGACGCUGAGGCACGAAAGCGUGGGGAUCAAACAGG